rnacentral:rRNA from 1 species
AUACGGAGGGGGCUAGCGUUGUUCGGAUUUACUGGGCGUAAAGCGCACGCAGGCGGUUCUUCUAGUUAGGCGUGAAAGGCCUGGGCUCAACCCGGGAACUGCGCUUAAUACUGUUGAGCUAGAGUCCGGGAGAGGAUGGCGGAAUUCCCAGUGUAGAGGUGAAAUUCGUAGAUAUUGGGAAGAACACCAGUGGCGAAGGCGGCCAUCUGGUCCGGUACUGACGCUGAGGUGCGAAAGCGUGGGGAGCAAACAGGAUUAGAAACCCUAGUAGUCC